AGAGAGGUACCAAAAAGUCUGAAGUCACAGCUGGAAAGCUGGGAAGAUCAGGAAUUCAAAAUGCACUUCCCGUGUUGCUGUUGGGAAGACAAUUAGUCCUUAGCUUGGUUCAGUGAGUUUUUUCAAACUGGAAACUCAAGUCCUUCUGUUUUGGGAGUUUUUCUGUUUUUUGUUUUUUGAGACAGUCUCGCUCUGUCGCCAGGCUGGAGUGCAGUGGCACAAUCCCUCAGCCUCCCGAGUAGCUGGGACUAAAGGUGCACGCCACCACGCCCAGCCAGUUUUUGUAUUUUUAGUAGAGACGAUGUUUCACCAUGUUGGCCAGUCUGAUCUCCUUCUCUUGACCUCAUGAUCUGCCCACCUCGGCCUCCCAAAGUGCUGGUAUUACAGGCGUGAGCUACUCUGCAAGGCCUGUUCUAGGAAUUUUUAAAUGUAUUUCUUUGAUAAUUUCCUCUUCUCUGUUUCCUUUCAUCUCCAUUAGAAUUUGUUCACAUCUCUUUGGCAUAAAAAUUUUAAUCAUUGUAAAAUCCAAGAUUUUUUUUUUUUUUUUUUUUGAGACAGAAUCUUGCUCUGUCGCCCAGGCUGGAGUGCAGUGGUGCAAUCUCGGCUCACCACAAGCUCUGCCUCCCGGGUUCACGCCAUUCUCCUGCCUCAGUCUCCCGAGUAGCUGGGACUACAGGCGCCUGAUAUCUUUCAAUGGGCAGACUUUUUGGUUUUAAGUUGUUUUAAUGGUUUGUGCUUUUUGUACCCUAUUUAAGAAAUCUUUGUCUAAUCCAUAGUGAUAAAGAUUAUCUGUGUUUUCUUCUGAAAAUGUGGUAAUUUUAGCUUUUAUGUUUAGAUCUGAGAUCCAUUUUGGUUGGGCGUGGUGGCUCACGCCUGUAAUCCCAACAGUUCGGGAGGCUGAGGUGAGUGGAACACCUGAGGUCAGGAGUUUGAGACGUAUGUAAUCCCAGCUUCUUGGGAGCCUGAGGCAGGAGAAUCACUUGAACCUGGGAGGCGGAGGUUGCAAUGAGCUGAGAUCGCACCAUUGCACUCCAGCCACUCCAGCCUGUGUGACAGAGUGAGACUCUGUUCUCAAAAAAA
rnacentral:lncRNA from 10 species